CCGUUAUAACCGGCGAUACCCGAAUGGGGAAACCCAGUGUGACUCGUCACACUAUCAUUAACUGAAUCCAUAGGUUAAUGAGGCGAACCGGGGGAACUGAAACAUCUAAGUACCCCGAGGAAAAGAAAUCAACCGAGAUUCCCCCAGUAGCGGCGAGCGAACGGGGAGGAGCCCAGAGCCUGAAUCAGCAUGUGUGUUAGUGGAAGCGUCUGGAAAGGCGCGCGAUACAGGGUGACAGCCCCGUACACAAAAGCGCAUGUGCUGUGAGCUCGAUGAGUAGGGCGGGACACGUGGUAUCCUGUCUGAAUAUGGGGGGACCAUCCUCCAAGGCUAAAUACUCCUGACUGACCGAUAGUGAACCAGUACCGUGAGGGAAAGGCGAAAAGAACCCCGGCGAGGGGAGUGAAAAAGAACCUGAAACCGUGUACGUACAAGCAGUGGGAGCACCCUUUGGGUGUGACUGCGUACCUUUUGUAUAAUGGGUCAGCGACUUAUAUUCUGUAGCAAGGUUAACCGAAUAGGGGAGCCGGAGGGAAACCGAGUCUUAAU
rnacentral:rRNA from 1 species